AGAUUGAACGCUGGCGGCAGGCCUAACACAUGCAAGUCGGACGGCAGCACGGGCUUCGGCCUGGUGGCGAGUGGCGGACGGGUGAGUAGCGCUUGGGAAUCUGCCUGGCAUUGGGGGAUAACUCGGGGAAACUCGAGCUAAUACCGCAUACACCCCGAGGGGGAAAGCAGGGGACCUGCUUGCAGGCCUUGCGAUGCUGGAUGAGCCCAAGCCGGAUUAGCUGGUUGGUGGGGUAAAGGCCUACCAAGGCGACGAUCCGUAGCUGGUCUGAGAGGAUGAUCAGCCACACUGGGACUGAGACACGGCCCAGACUCCUACGGGAGGCAGCAGUGGGGAAUAUUGGACAAUGGGGGCAACCCUGAUCCAGCCAUGCCGCGUGUGUGAAGAAGGUCUUAGGAUUGUAAAGCACUUUAAGUCAGGAGGAAGUGCCGCUGGCGAAUACUUGGCGACAUUGACGUUACUGACAGAAUAAGCACCGGCUAACUUCGUGCCAGCAGCCGCGGUAAUACGAAGGGUGCGAGCGUUAAUCGGAAUUACUGGGCGUAAAGCGCGCGCAGGCGGUUCGAUAAGAAGGAUGUGAAAUCCCCGGGCUCAACCUGGGCACUGCAUUUUUAACUGUCGGGCUAGAGUACGGUAGAGGGUGGUGGAAUUUCCCGUGUAGCGGUGAAAUGCGUAGAU
rnacentral:rRNA from 1 species